UACGUAGGCGCCAAGCGUUAUCCGGAUUCAUUGGGCGUAAAGCGCGCGUAGGCGGCUCGGAAAGUCGGGCGUGAAAUGCCGGGGCUCAACCCCGGGACUGCGUCCGAUACUUCCGAGCUGGAGGUAGGUAUGGGAGAUCGGAAUUCCUGGUGUAGCGGUGAAAUGCGCAGAUAUCAGGAGGAACACCGGUGGCGAAGGCGGAUCUCUGGGCCUUACCUGACGCUGAGGCGCGAAAGCUAGGGGAGCGAACAGG
rnacentral:rRNA from 1 species